ensembl:lncRNA
GGCCUGUCUGUCCGCGUGUCUGUCUGUGGCGCUGCUCCCCCCGCCUGCGGGUCCCCUCAGCUCCAAGCCCGGCUCCCCUGAAGGCAGCUGCAAGCCAGGCGGCUCCUCCUCCGUAAAGGCGCGUCCGUGGCGGCUCUGGGGGGUUUGGGCUUUUAGUACAGCCGGAAAGUAGGGGCGGGGGGGGGCUCUGAAACUUUCGCUUUAGCCCAAAAUGUACGGUGUAUUGCUUUGAAGAGUUUAGCAUCUGAAUGUGGUCUUUUUCCUCACACCCAGUGGCAUCUUAUCUUUGAAAUAUUUAAUCUUCUAAAGUUAUUUCUGUUUUAAAAUUGAGUUCCAGGUGUAAGGAGUGCCAGUGAACCCCAGCAGCCUGCCUGCGUCCCGGCCCUUUCGCCGCCAUCCAGCCCGGGUGCGCUCUCCUGGAGCGUGCAGUGCUAGGGCACCUCUGAGCCCUGCUCGCAGGGACUGCCCUGGAAGGAGGCUGUCUUCUGAGCUGCUACACGUUAUCUUCCCGGUGUCUUCCUGUGCUUCCUCAACCCUGGCAUUUUGUACCCUAGGAAGCUGGAGGAGCAACAGGAGGGAAAAGGAUGCAGCAGCCAGCAACUGGAGGAGCUAAUUCCAGCUACAGAGCAAGUAACUGACCUUGUUCUACAGAAUAUAGAGCGUACCCUUGAUCUGGUAAUACCCCAGGAGUACAAGACCUGUCAGUUAACGCAGGGGUCAGUGGUACACAUCCUGCUCCGACGUGCAGCUGGGACACUGCAAGCAAGGCUGCACAGGUGCUGAGAGGAGCUCAUGGAUCCCAUGGACUAGGUAUACCUUCUGUGUACAAUUCCUGCUGCAAAAAAGAGCCAUGCAGUUCUUGUGACGUAAUUCUUCCUUAUGCUGUGAGGUGUAAAAUGGGACAGCCAAAGCAUUUUCCUGCUAACCUGGAAAAUUCACUGGCAUUCACUCAUCACAAAAGUAAAUUGAGCAAUCCAGGCUGAAAGCCAAACUUUGCCUGAAGGCUGAUUGUUGGUGUUCUGAUUAAAUGUAGAAUUCUGCUGCAUUUUGCCCCAGUGUCAAGUAUAGCUUGUUACUUUCCUCUUCCAUAGGAAAGCCCAGUAAGGAUUAAACGACUGUAUUCUUUUGUGUUUGCUCUUUGACUUUUUAAAUUUCUUUCUGGAUAAAACUCUAAAGGGUCAGAGGGGAAACAAUUAUACUAAGUGCUGCUAAUCAGAUUUCAUGUCUCAGAAUGCAGAGACAGCUCCUAAGAGCCUAAAGUUUUUUUCCGGCAUUUUAAAUAACAUGAUGCAAUUUCAUAUUAAUUCUGCACCUCCUUACCUUGGAGUUGUCUGUUAACAAGUAGGAGGGCUUAGGCAAAAAAACGCCCAAGAGCUGAGACUGUGUAUGUGAGCAGAGACGUUGCAGACUGCAGAACUGGGCACCAGAUACUGCAAAGAUCAAGAAAACAAUGGUAUUGUGAUAAUGCAAGUUCCUCUAUUAAUCCAAAAUGCCAGUCGUUAACUAACUUCUUGGGAAUACAUAUUACAGUGCUCUCAAUGCCAUUUGGUAGAAACUCAUUUUUCUCCUAGUCUCUUCAGGUUGUUUUUUAAGAGACUGAUUUGGCAGUGGAACAGCUGCUGACUUUGGCAGAUGUGGUAACUUCUUAACUUUCUUCUCCCUGUAAAAAGACAAAUCCCUGUGCUAGCAAAAAUACCCAACCCUUUACUGAAGUCUAAAAAUAUGAGCAGGUAAAGUGAACGCACACAUUACCAUCCAAUUAUUGUUCACAGCUAUUAAUUCCAUACAUAGAAAUUUACACAUGGAGGAUGGCAGGUAAAGGCUGAGCCCCUUAUAAACUUUGCAAAGCAUGCAAGAAAAAAUACGCAACACUCACGUCAGAACAUUAUAACAAAAUGAGCUAGUGUAUUUUAUUUCGGGUAAGAGCCAAGAAAUCUGACAUUUUGCCCAAUAUGGCUUUCUUCUAAAAUUAAAAAGUUGCAUAUACCUACAGUUGAGUCCACCAGCUACCGAAAAUUUGCUGUAUGCAUCUUUAAUCCACAGCAGCAUCACCAGAAUACAGCUUCCAGUGGAGUUUUCAAGCAGAAUUAUAAGAAGUUUUAAAAUGUUCAUUUAGAAUAUUUUAUAUUGUUUAUAUGAAAACAUACAAAUUUUUUCAUUUAUACAUAUACUACAUAUAAAACUCAUUGUAAUUAGCAAGUAUCUUCAUCUGGGUAUUUACCUUUGUGCAUACAAGGAAAAAAAGUAUGUAGUUAGGGCUUCAGAUGAAUAUUAAAGUUCAAGACCUUUGUAUAUGCUAACUAAAACGUUAUUCAAACAACUCAAAUUUUCCUGCUUUUAAAAGAUAAGAGAUUCAGCUUAAAAAUACAUUCAUAAAACAAAGAGACAAUUUUCUCCCUGAGACUACCAGUGUGAAUUACUUUGUGAUAAUCUUUGAAUGAAAAAAUACAAAAGAGACAACGGGCUUUUUCAAUAUACUGCAGCAAAUUUCUGGAACAACACUGGCAUCAUAAAAGGUGUAGAUUGGAGAAUCAUGCUCACUAGCUGAAAAAACAUGUUCAUAGAUUAGAUUAAGACAAGAAAACCCUUUAAUAUAGACAAUUGAAGGUAAUUUAGUUUUCAAGAUCUAUAUGUGUAAUAUGUAGAACUGGGAAAAAGUUGUGGUUUUUUGUAGUUUUUUUUUUUCUUUUUUAAUUUCAGACAUGAUUUUUAUCCAAAGCAGGACUUCAUGCUCAAAAUGUAGACUCUUGAUUUAUGCAGAGAUACUUAGUACAUAGUAUUCUAAAGGUUUCAAGCAUUUGUCUUUGUUAAUAUUAAUAAAAUAAAUACAUAAUCUGUGAAUACA